AGAGUUUGAUCAUGGCUCAGAUUGAACGCUGGCGGCAGGCCUAACACAUGCAAGUCGAGCGGUAGCACAGAGAGCUUGCUCUCGGGUGACGAGCGGCGGACGGGUGAGUAAUGUCUGGGAAACUGCCUGAUGGAGGGGGAUAACUACUGGAAACGGUAGCUAAUACCGCAUAACGUCGCAAGACCAAAGUGGGGGACCUUCGGGCCUCAUGCCAUCAGAUGUGCCCAGAUGGGAUUAGCUAGUAGGUGGGGUAACGGCUCACCUAGGCGACGAUCCCUAGCUGGUCUGAGAGGAUGACCAGCCACACUGGAACUGAGACACGGUCCAGACUCCUACGGGAGGCAGCAGUGGGGAAUAUUGCACAAUGGGCGCAAGCCUGAUGCAGCCAUGCCGCGUGUGUGAAGAAGGCCUUCGGGUUGUAAAGCACUUUCAGCGGGGAGGAAGGCGUUAAGGUUAAUAACCUUGGCGAUUGACGUUACCCGCAGAAGAAGCACCGGCUAACUCCGUGCCAGCAGCCGCGGUAAUACGGAGGGUGCAAGCGUUAAUCGGAAUUACUGGGCGUAAAGCGCACGCAGGCGGUCUGUCAAGUCGGAUGUGAAAUCCCCGGGCUCAACCUGGGAACUGCAUUCGAAACUGGCAGGCUAGAGUCUUGUAGAGGGGGGUAGAAUUCCAGGUGUAGCGGUGAAAUGCGUAGAGAUCUGGAGGAAUACCGGUGGCGAAGGCGGCCCCCUGGACAAAGACUGACGCUCAGGUGCGAAAGCGUGGGGAGCAAACAGGAUUAGAUACCCUGGUAGUCCACGCCGUAAACGAUGUCGAUUUGGAGGUUGUGCCCUUGAGGCGUGGCUUCCGGAGCUAACGCGUUAAAUCGACCGCCUGGGGAGUACGGCCGCAAGGUUAAAACUCAAAUGAAUUGACGGGGGCCCGCACAAGCGGUGGAGCAUGUGGUUUAAUUCGAUGCAACGCGAAGAACCUUACCUGGUCUUGACAUCCACAGAACUUUCCAGAGAUGGAUUGGUGCCUUCGGGAACUGUGAGACAGGUGCUGCAUGGCUGUCGUCAGCUCGUGUUGUGAAAUGUUGGGUUAAGUCCCGCAACGAGCGCAACCCUUAUCCUUUGUUGCCAGCGGUCAGGCCGGGAACUCAAAGGAGACUGCCAGUGAUAAACUGGAGGAAGGUGGGGAUGACGUCAAGUCAUCAUGGCCCUUACGACCAGGGCUACACACGUGCUACAAUGGCAUAUACAAAGAGAAGCGACCUCGCGAGAGCAAGCGGACCUCAUAAAGUAUGUCGUAGUCCGGAUUGGAGUCUGCAACUCGACUCCAUGAAGUCGGAAUCGCUAGUAAUCGUAGAUCAGAAUGCUACGGUGAAUACGUUCCCGGGCCUUGUACACACCGCCCGUCACACCAUGGGAGUGGGUUGCAAAAGAAGUAGGUAGCUUAACCUUCGGGAGGGCGCUUACCACUUUGUGAUUCAUGACUGGGGUGAAGUCGUAACAAGGUAACCGUAGGGGAACCUGCGGUUGGAUCACCU
rnacentral:rRNA from 1 species